CUAUCUUUGUCGAACUUUAUGAAUUGCUUUUGCAAGUGUCUUGCAAACUGGUCCUUUUAAAAUUAUGUGCAUUCUGGGAGCAUCCCCAUCUCCUCUCCUAUUAUAAAUAAAAACAAAUGAAAACAUGAAUAAACUCCAACUUUCUACUGAAAGGUCCAUCUGAUAUAUAUACAUUUCUUUGUAAUACUUAUAUACGUAAAAUAUAUUUUCAGUAAGUGUUUUUAUCGCAUGUUAAACUUUUACUUCAUUGAUGUCCUAAAUAUUAUAUUGCAUACAACCCUUUUCAGCUGACCUGUCUAGAUGAGUGGGCUUCUAUUGAAAGGGAUCAUACUAAUGUGUUAUCCUGGGCUAUACAAGAUCUUCAGGCCAGCACUCUCCGUGUUCCAGUCACUGGAGGGGCAAAGGGGGACAUUGAAACAAUUAAGGCAGCUGUUUGGUCUGCAGUUGAUGUGAUACAGGUGAUGGGAUCCUCCAUAGGCUCCAUGUUUCAGCAGGUGGAGGGGAUGAACAGUGCGGUUUCUGAAUUUGCUGAAGUAGUAGCCCAAGAGAGAGCGAUGCUUGAUGAAUGUGAGUCUCUUUUGGCUUACACGGCAACUAUCCAGGUGAGGAAGAUGCUAUAAUAUUGCACCUUGAAA